GUGGAGGAGGAGGAGAAAGAAGAUUCAAAAGCUUUUUUCAUCCUCAAUGAGAUUAUACUUGUCUUAAAGGAUGCUAAGGAGGAAUCUAGGAAGGAAGCUUCUGAUGUUCUCAUCAACAUAAGUUCCAGCUUGAGAAGCAUUUUGCCUGUUAGUUCAGUUGCACCUUGUCAGAAACUGAUUAACAUGAUAGUGGGCUAUCUUUCUGGUUCAUCACCUCAAAUUACAAGUGGAGCUGUUUCUGCAUUGUCCGUACUAGUUUACAAGGAUACAGAUAUCUGUCUAUCAAUUCCUGAUCUUAUUCCUUCUGUUCUUUCUCUGCUACAAAGCAAAGCGGUGGAAGUGAUAAAAGUGAGUAUACCAUUACCAAAGUAGAUUCUUGCCCCAAUUGGCAUGGCUU